GGCUGAUCUUCCCCAAGAGUCCACAUCGACGGGAAGGUUUGGCACCUCGAUGUCGGCUCUUCGCCACCUAGAGCUAUAGGUGGUUCCAAUGGCUGGGUUGUUCGUCCACUAAUGUGGUACGUGAGCUGGGUUCAGAACGUCGUGAGACAGUUC
rnacentral:rRNA from 1 species